rnacentral:rRNA from 1 species
AGAGUUUGAUCAUGGCUCAGAAUCAACGCUGGCGGCGCGCCUAACACAUGCAAGUCGCACGAGAAAGCGGGAGCAAUCUCGCAAGUAAAGUGGCGUACGGGUGAGUAACACGUGGAUCAUCUGCCCUGGAGUGGGGAAUAACGCUGGGAAACCGGCGCUAAUACCGCAUAUACCCGAGAGGGGAAAGCAGCAAUGCGCUCGAGGAGGAGUCCGCGGCCGAUUAGCUAGUUGGCAGGGUAAAAGCCUACCAAGGCUGUGAUCGGUAGCCGGCCUGAGAGGGCACACGGCCACACUGGCACUGAAACACGGGCCAGACUCCUACGGGAGGCAGCAGUGGGGAAUCUUGCACAAUGGGGGAAACCCUGAUGCAGCGACGCCGCGUGAGCGAUGAAAGCCCUUCGGGGUGUAAAGCUCUUUCGGCAGGGGAAGAUAAUGACGGUACCUGCAGAAGCAGCUGCGGCUAACUACGUGCCAGCAGCCGCGGUAAUACGUAGGCAGCAAGCGUUGUUCGGAGUUACUGGGCGUAAAGGGUGUGUAGGUGGCGCGCUAAGUUCCGUGUGAAAUCUCCCGGCUCAACCGGGAGGGUGCGCGGAAAACUGGCGGGCUAGAGUACGGGAUGGGAGAGUAGAAUUCCUGGUGUAGCGGUGAAAUGCGUAGAUAUCAGGAGGAAUACCGGUGGUGUAGACGGCUCUCUGGACCGUAACUGACACUGAAACACGAAAGCGUGGGUAGCAAACAGGAUUAGAUACCCUAGUAGUCC